UUAAUUCUCAUGCUCUCUACAAGAAGAACUGAAUUUAAGGUGAAGUACUUCUACUAGUGGAAUAUGGCCGCUUUUAAAGUAUUUAUUUAACGAAUUCGAAACUUUCUUCACAUAUUAAUUGAGUUAUGAAUGCUACCUACGAGUAUUUUACCUAUUUCUACCUAUGUAAUCUGACCACGAUAGAUUCGUUCACGGAAUUAUUUAAAACUCAUCUGAGUAAUUUAAAGGACUGGGUGUGGAAGCAUUAAGAUCAAGAGGUGUCUUAAGAAUACUACUGCUUCAAGAAAUGCACAGCUAGUCGAUUUUUACGCAACGAGCUAAGUUGACUACAUGUUUGUGCUGCCUGUGCUGCCGCGCCUGUCACCGUUAUAAAGAGAGCCGAGUACCGACGAUCUGUGGACCUAUCAAGAAUUAUCGAGGGUCGGGACUCCACUUCCUCAGGUGCGCGUGUAUCCUGCUUCCCGUCCACAGGUCCGUACUCGUCCCUGAUCAUCACUGU